GUCAUAGCCUAACGGCUGAACCAGCAACUGGAGGAAUGUAUAGCAAUAGCUAAUUGCACCAACAAAUAGUUGAUGCAAUAUCGACUCUGUCGAAUAAAAUUCUAGGUAGAAUUAUGAUAAUGACAUUGUCUGCCUAUGUGUCUUGACCAAAUUACGUGCCAGCAGUCGCGGUAAUACGUAGAAGACUAGUGUUAUUCAUCUUUAAUAGGUUUAAAGGGUACCUAGACGGUAAAUCAAGCCUUCAAGGGGACUAAUUUACUAGAGUUACUUGUGAGGGGGUAUUAAAGUACUAAUGGUGUAGAGAUGAAAUUCUGUCAUACCUAUUUUCGGAAGAAAAAUUACGGCACAGGUAUAGGCGAAAGCAUCCCCUUAUGUGAUAACUGACGUUGAAGGACGAAGGCUUUGUGUCGCGAACAGGAUUAGAUACCCCAGUAGUCAAAGCAGAAAAUGAUGAAUGUCAUAGAUUAGACAUAUAGUUUAUUCUAUAAAUGAAAGUGUAAGCAUUCCACCUCAAGAGUAAUUUGGCAACAUUGGAACUGAAAUCAUUAGACCGUUUCUGAAACCAGUAGUGAAGUAUGUUGUUUAAUUUGUUGAUCCGCAAAAAACCUUACCACAAUUUGAAUAUUUAUAUCUUUUUUUCAUGGAAAAGAUGAGAAAAGAUAUCUUUACAAGCGUUGCACGGCUGUCUUCAGUUAAUGUCGUGAGACUUUGGUUAGUUCCAUUAAAUUAACGUAAACCCUUACUUUAUUUUUAUAUAAAGUAGUUCCCCACUAGAUUGGAUAAGAUAACAGGGACUAAGACAAGUCAUCAUGGCCUGAAUAUUGUGGGCUAUAGACGUGCCACAUAAACCUUACAAAAGGAUGUGAAUAAAUUGUGAAAAUUGAGCUAUCCCCAAAAUGAGAUACACUACAU
rnacentral:rRNA from 1 species